rnacentral:rRNA from 1 species
UCGAGAAUUUUUCACAAUGGGCGAAAGCCUGAUGGAGCGACGCCGCGUGGGGGAUGAAUGGCUUCGGCCCGUAAACCCCUGUCAUUUGCGAAUAAACUCUGGGAUUUAAAAGAUCUCGGAUUGAAAGUAGCAGAAGAGGAAGGGACGGCUAACUCUGUGCCAGCAGCCGCGGUAAUACAGAGGUCCCAAGCGUUGUUCGGAUUUACUGGGCGUAAAGGGUGCGUAGGUGGUAGGGUAAGUUCAGGGUGAA